GCCUCGGUAGUUUAAUUGGCUAGGACACUUGUGCGUAAAGCAGGCGAUCCGGGUUCGACUCCUGGCCGAUGUA
rnacentral:tRNA from 1 species